GACGAACGCUGGCGGCGUGCUUAACACAUGCAAGUCGAACGGAAAGGCCCUGCUUUUGUGGGGUGCUCGAGUGGCGAACGGGUGAGUAACACGUGAGUAACCUGCCCUUGACUUUGGGAUAACUUCAGGAAACUGGGGCUAAUACCGGAUAGGAGCUCCUGCUGCAUGGUGGGGGUUGGAAAGUUUCGGCGGUUGGGGAUGGACUCGCGGCUUAUCAGCUUGUUGGUGGGGUAGUGGCUUACCAAGGCUUUGACGGGUAGCCGGCCUGAGAGGGUGACCGGCCACAUUGGGACUGAGAUACGGCCCAGACUCCUACGGGAGGCAGCAGUGGGGAAUAUUGCACAAUGGGCGGAAGCCUGAUGCAGCAACGCCGCGUGCGGGGUGACGGCCUUCGGGUUGUAAACCGCUUUCGCCUGUGACGAAGCGUGAGUGACGGUAAUGGGUAAAGAAGCACCGGCUAACUACGUGCCAGCAGCCGCGGUGAUACGUAGGGUGCGAGCGUUGUCCGGAUUUAUUGGGCGUAAAGGGCUCGUAGGUGGUUGAUCGCGUCGGAAGUGUAAUCUUGGGGCUUAACCCUGAGCGUGCUUUCGAUACGGGUUGACUUGAGGAAGGUAGGGGAGAAUGGAAUUCCUGGUGGAGCGGUGGAAUGCGCAGAUAUCAGGAGGAACACCAGUGGCGAAGGCGGUUCUCUGGGCCUUUCCUGACGCUGAGGAGCGAAAGCGUGGGGAGCGAACAGGCUUAGAUACCCUGGUAGUCCACGCUGUAAACGGUGGGUACUAGGUGUGGGGUCCAUUCCACGGGUUCCGUGCCGUAGCUAACGCUUUAAGUACCCCGCCUGGGGAGUACGGCCGCAAGGCUAAAACUCAGAGGAAUUGACGGGGCCCCGCACAAGCGGCGGAGCAUGCGGAUUAAUUCGAUGCAACGCGUAGAACCUUACCUGGGUUUGACAUGGAUCGGGAGUGCUCAGAGAUGGGUGUGCCUCUUUUGGGGUCGGUUCACAGGUGGUGCAUGGCUGUCGUCAGCUCGUGUCGUGAGAUGUUGGGUUAAGUCCCGCAACGAGCGCAACCCUUGUUCACUGUUGCCAGCACGUUAUGGUGGGGACUCAGUGGAGACCGCCGGGGUCAACUCGGAGGAAGGUGGGGAUGACGUCAAGUCAUCAUGCCCCUUAUGUCCAGGGCUUCACGCAUGCUACAAUGGCUGGUACAGAGAGUGGCGAGCCUGUGAGGGUGAGCGAAUCUCGGAAAGCCGGUCUCAGUUCGGAUUGGGGUCUGCAACUCGACCUCAUGAAGUCGGAGUCGCUAGUAAUCGCAGAUCAGCAACGCUGCGGUGAAUACGUUCCCGGGGCU
rnacentral:rRNA from 1 species